GAUGAACGCUGGCGGCGUGCCUAAUACAUGCCAGUCGAGCGAACAGACGAGGAGCUUGCUCCUCUGACGUUAGCGGCGGACGGGUGAGUAACACGUGAAUAACCUACCUAUAAGACUGGGAUAACUUCGGGAAACCGGAGCUAAUACCGGAUAAUAUAUUGAACCGCAUGGUUCAAUAGUGAAAGACGGUUUUGCUGUCACUUAUAGAUGGAUCCGCGCCGCAUUAGCUAGUUGGUAAGGUAAUGGCUUACCUAGGCAACGCUGCGUAGCCGACCCGAGAGCGUGACCGGCCACACUAGAACUGAGCCAAGGUCACGACUCCUAACGGAGGCACCAGUAGGGAAUCUUCCGCAAUGGGCGAAAGCCUGACGGAGCAACGCCGCGUGAGUGAUGAAGGUCUUAGGCUCGUAAAACUCUGUUAUUAGGGAAGAAAAAAUGUGUAAGUACCUAUGCACGUCUUGACGGUACCUACUCAGACAGACACGGCUAACUACGUG
rnacentral:rRNA from 1 species